CUUGGUGCCUAUGCGACUGGAACACACCCGUUCCCAUUCCGAACACGAAGGUAAAGACGGUUGGCAGCGACAAUAUUAAGUUGGAAACGAUUUGAGAAGAUAGCCAUGUGCCAGGG
rnacentral:rRNA from 1 species